rnacentral:lncRNA from 1 species
UCAUGUCUGCAAAUAACAGGGUUGCUCUCUUUGUUGAAAUCUAAUAGUUAUCCGCUGUACUGAGUAAAAGCAAUGUGUUGCCGAUGUCAAAUCACACGUUUUAUUCGUACAGUGUUUAUGAGGUAGAGAAUUCAAAUCUUCAUUGUGUUGCUGAUGUCGAUAACAAAUCGGUAUCUGACAUUACAUGCGUUUUAUUCGUACAGUGUUUAUGAGGUAGAGAAUUCAAAUCUUCAUUGUGUUGCCGAUGUCGAUAACAAAUCGGUAUCUGACAUCUGUUUUCGAAAGCCGCUCCAUGGCUGUGUUCACAUAAUCCAUCGAGAUAACCUCAAUAUCUGCCGUGAUGUUGUUCUUGGCAGCAAAA